AUUGAACGCUGGCGGCAGGACUACCACAUGCAAGUCGACCGAGUGGCGGACGGGGGAGUAAUGUCGGGGAAACUGCAUGAUGGAGGGGGAUAACUACUGGGAACGGUAGCAAAUACCGCAUACCAUCGGAUGUGACCAGAUGGGAUUAGCUAGUAGGUGGGGUAAAGGCUCAGCUAGGCGACGAUCCCUAGCUGGUAUGAAAGGAUGACCAGCCACACUGGAACUGAGACACGGUCCAGCCGCCUACGGUAGGCAUCAGUGGGGAAUAUUGCACCUGGGGCGCCAGCCUGAUGCAGCCAUUCCUCUGGUAUGAAUAAGGCCUUUGGGUUGUAAAGUACUUGCAGCGGGGAGGCGUUACCCGCAGAAGAAGCACCGGCUAACUCCUUGCCAGCAGCCGCGGUAAUUC
rnacentral:rRNA from 1 species